rnacentral:lncRNA from 1 species
AGAAGAUUCUAGAUCUUUACACCAUAUUGACAUCAUCAUUUGUUGAACUCCCCAAGUAACAGCACAAUCUGUUAAUAAUGUAGAAUAAAAUUUAUAAGAACUCAUAGCAGCGAGGUAGAAUACUACCUUGACAGAAUCUUGGCAAUACCUCAAAAGGGGGAAGUGAGAAUGGAUAUUUAGAGAGUGUUAAGGUUUGGGCAGGUCUUGAUUGAGAUUGGGUAAAAUUUGUGACACAAGAGUUUAGGAUUGGUGAACAGAGUAUGGUGAGUGUCUUAAGGCAGGAUUUGAUAAACUAUUAUUUGACAAGUGAGCUCUUUGCCCCAGUAACAAGACUAUCAUUUCAGAUAAAUCAAUUUGCAAGAAAAUCUUGAAGGAAAUAAUAUUUAUUGGCUUACAGACUUAACUUUCCUAGCAAAGUUUUUGAGGAACAAACCAUUAAGUCAUGUUAACAUAAAUGGUCUCAGUUCUCACUUUUCAUUUUUCAUAUAUCUCUGGUUUCUCUUUUCCCAAAGACUGAGAAUUACAAGUCCAAGGGGGAUAACAUAUUACAGGUUCUAUAUCUUGAAACUUUCAAGAAUGAUCAGGCUUCAGUUCUUUCAUGUUAGCAAAUUAUUCUUUUAUCAGAUAUGGCAUAAUUUGGAUGGUGGGAUCAAUUCUAUUUGUACUGUAAAAGGUAAGCCCUUGUCCAAAUUAAUAUUUAUAUUUGUUAAUUGCCUGUGUACAAAUUAUAUUUGUAAUUGGCCCGUGACUCUACUGGUUUGAUUUCUAUUGCUCAUUAUUCAUUUCUUCUUCUAGGGAACAGGUGGCCAGAGGUUUGGCCAUCCUUUGAUAUUCAGAAAUGAGGCUAAAGGGAAAUCAUCUCCAUUUCUUCUGUUAAGAUGAUAAGUAUGACAGGGAUAUUGAAUCAGCAGUGACAGCAUGAAUAAAAAGAAACCAUCAAAUAUGCUUAUUGACAACAUGACCUCAGACAAGUCACUUAAGCUCUCUGAACCUCAAACUCUUCAUAUCUAAAUGGAGAUAAUGAUUUUAUCUUAAGACUGUUACGAGGAGUAUGAAAAAAAGAUACAUAAAAAACAUUGGCCAGAGCACUUGGUACAUAGUCUCUACAUGAUAG